AAACGGGUGGUAAUGCCGGAUGCUCCGCACCGUCGCAUGAUGGUGUGGGAAAGGGUUUACCGGCAUGGGAUGGGGUCGCGUCCUAUCAGCUUGUUGGCGGGGUGAUGGCCUGCCAAGGCUUCGACGGGUAGCCGGCCUGAGAGGGCGACCGGCCACAUUGGGACUGAGAUACGGCCCAGACUCCUACGGGAGGCAGCAGUGGGGAAUAUUGCACAAUGGGCGAAAGCCUGAUGCAGCGACGCCGCGUGCGGGAUGACGGCCUUCGGGUUGUAAACCGCUUUUGAUUGGGAGCAAGCGAGAGUGAGUGUACCUUUCGAAUAAGCACCGGCUAACUACGUGCCAGCAGCCGCGGUAAUACGUAGGGUGCAAGCGUUAUCCGGAUUUAUUGGGCGUAAAGAGCUCGUAGGCGGUUCGUCGCGUCUGGUGUGAAAGUCCAUCGCUUAACGGUGGAUCGGCGCCGGGUACGGGCGGACUGGAGUGCGGUAGGGGAGACUGGAAUUCCCGGUGUAACGGUGGAAUGUGUAG
rnacentral:rRNA from 1 species